rnacentral:rRNA from 1 species
GACGAACGCUGGCGGCGUGCUUAACACAUGCAAGUCGAACGCUGAAGCUUGGUGCUUGCACUGGGUGGAUGAGUGGCGAACGGGUGAGUAAUACGUGAGUAACCUGCCCUUGACUCUGGGAUAAGCCUGGGAAACUGGGUCUAAUACUGGAUACGACAUGUCACCGCAUGGUGGUGUGUGGAAAGGGUUUUACUGGUUUUGGAUGGGCUCACGGCCUAUCAGCUUGUUGGUGGGGUAAUGGCUCACCAAGGCGACGACGGGUAGCCGGCCUGAGAGGGUGACCGGCCACACUGGGACUGAGACACGGCCCAGACUCCUGCGGGAGGCAGCAGUGGGGAAUAUUGCACAAUGGGCGGAAGCCUGAUGCAGCGACGCCGCGUGAGGGAUGACGGCCUUCGGGUUGUAAACCUCUUUCAGCACGGAAGAAGCGAAAGUGACGGUACGUGCAGAAGAAGCGCCGGCUAACUACGUG